UGUUGUGGGCACAGAAAGACGCUCAUAGCUAACACUUCCGUGAUGUUUAAGGUUAGUUCACGUUUUGGUGGAGAGUUCGUUACCUUUCAAAAAAAAUCUCGUAUUUACAAGGUAAACCUUCGGUAGACAAAAUAACUUUUUUAAGGACAGUCUACAUCGGAGUGUUUACGGUGUGAGACCUCAAUCUGCUUAUGUAACCAAAUCCGCGAGAUGACACUUUAAGCCCUCUAAUUAUCAGAGAUUGCCCUCCAAGGUAGCUCAGUAGUUAGCAGCCUUAUUUAGCUUCCAGAAAGCUCUCUCACUGAAAGCCCUCAGCUUAGGACUGCUCACCAAUGGAAAGACUGACUGAAGCCAAAAUCAGUGAAUAAUUUGCAUGGCUCGAUUUGCACAAAUCCAACGAAGACAGACUUACGAAUGAUGUACUCCUGCAGCGUCUAAAGCUAUUCCGGAGAUGUUCCAUUCUUUACAGAUAACUUGGGAAGCCCUCUGAAAGCGUUCUUGGGCCUCUGCUUGAGUUGUGUAGCAAAGGAAAAAAUUAUCUAAGACCUCUGGCUGGGCUAAGAAUUAACUGACUUAGGACAAACUCACAGAAUGAAGGCAUACACAUUUUAUUUCGCUAUUUCUACGUGUACAUUGGAGCCUUCACUGGAAAAAUGAAGACUGAAAACAUUUGGGGUGCAAAACUUAAACACUAGUUUGAACAAAGCGUAGUAAAUUGUGAAAUGUGGCAAGACAAAGAAAGGAGUUAAUUGUGGUAACUGCCUAAGAGGUCUUUUAACAGGUUGGUUUUCACAGAUUUCUCUAACCUUGACUGACACACCCCUCCUUCCUGGCUCUGGUGAUAAGAAUGUCUUCCUUCUGGUACAAGGAGAUCACAUUUCACAUGGAAGUUUUGUUUCCAGCUUUCAGGAAGAAAAAGGAAAAUCAGAUUGGCCUUCAUUCAUCUGCUGUUUUUUAAGUGACUUUAAUUCAAAAGAAUAUUUAUGCCAAAGUGGACAGUAUACCUAUGAAUGGCAAGUCAUCCUUUUAAAAAAUGAUUUAUUUAUUUACUUGAGAAGCAUAGUUACAGAGAGGGAGAGACAGAGACAUCUUCCGUCUGCUGGUUCACUCCUCAAUUGGCUGCAACAGCUAGGGUGAUCCAAAGCCAGUAGCCAGGAACUUCUUCCAGGUCUCACAGGUGCAGGGGCCUAAACACUUGGGCCAUCUUCACUGCUUUUCCAGGCCAUCAGCAGGGGGCUGGAUUGGAAGUGGAGUAGCCGGGACUCGAAUCAGCUCUUAUAUGGGAUGUCAGCACUGCAGAUGGAUGCUUAACAUACUAUACCACAGAGCCGGCUUCAAGUCAUCCUUUUCUAAGAAUGGACUGAUUUUAGGAAUAAUCGGUCAUUCCAAGUCAACUUUUUGGAGAAAAUGGAGGUCAAGGGCUCACUGUCGGGGUACCUGGCAGAACAAGGAGUCUAAACUUUGAAACCAAAGGUGUCAGUUUGAGGGCCAUCUCUGCCACUUCCUAUCAGACUGACACUGGAUGGUCCACCAAAUCUGAUGGAGAAGAGACAAAAAGUGGACAUCCAGGUUGCACCAUUCAGAUUUAUUUUCAUUUAUUUUGUCUGUAAAGCAAUCAACUACGUAUUUUUGUUUAUAACAUGUUAAACUGGCAUCUUUAAAUACAUCUACUCUAUUUUAAUAAGAAUUUACUACUUUUAUAUCUUAUGGAAGUAUUAAAAUAAAACCUCUAGAGUGUAUAUAUGCACAAGCAAAUGUAAAUGCACUAUCUAAUCAAUCUCCAGUGUUCAGACUGAUAUGCGUGUGUCACAAUCCAACUCACUACAUUAACUUCGGGUCUCUUCCUCUGAAGGCACUGCACACUGCUGGGUGGCACAAAUCUAUGGUGGCCAGGUUUCUAUUUAUGGUAUGACAUUUCUCACUGAGCAGUGUUCAGCAUUUGUUACUGGACAGUUCCCACGUUAAGCAGCAAAGCACACACCAGGAGUCUCUGGUUGCCUGCCCAACUGGUAACUAUGACUGGUUUCAGAAUCUUCUCCUACCUG